GCACUAAAAAAAACAAAUUAGAAACAGUCAUACAGAUGCGCGCACACGAUGAAGGAGGCAGAGGAAAGCUAUUAGAGAGAUGGAGAAGAAGGAAACGAUUCAUUGUUGGAUCCGGAUAUGCUUGCCGCAGAUGAUGGCGUCAUUAAGAGCUUGAUGGGAUAAAGAGGAGAUUGAAAGAGAUGGAGGAAGAAGCUGAUGCGCUGCGCGAUAUGCAAGCCAAAGCCCAAAAAUAAAUGGAAGCUAUUCAAGGUAGGAUUGAAAAGCUUAUCAUGAUGGUGUUGAAUUCUUGUCGCUUCGCUCUGUUUCAGGUCGGACCUUCUUGAUCUUCUCCAUCAAGCUCCAGGAUUUAAUAAACGUUCAUACUUCAACAAAUGGAUACCUCAUAAGACAUGAUGAUUAAAUCAUGUAAAGAUGCUCAAGAGGAUUCACUUGAUAUAACCCCAUCGAAACAUCUUAUUUGGUUUCCGCUCAUAAGACUCGGUCUUUGGGGUGGAUCUGUUCAAGAGAAUACUCUCGGUGGUCAUCCAUCCAAUGUAGAAGUAGAUAGAAUUUGUUUUCAAAUUGAUUUUAGACAUACUUUUUGUCAAAUAAUUUGGCUUUAUAAUAUAUACUACAGUCUUAAAACUGAACAAUUACUUGUUCCAUACAUGUUUUUGUAAACAUAUGUUAGAUACUACAUCACUUGAUUAUUUCA